AAGAAGUAUUUCGGUAUGUAAAGCUCUAUCAGCAGGGAAGAUAAUGACGGUACCUGACUAAGAAGCCCCGGCUAACUACGUGCCAGCAGCCGCGGUAAUACGUAGGGGGCAAGCGUUAUCCGGAUUUACUGGGUGUAAAGGGAGCGUAGACGGCAAGGCAAGUCUGAUGUGAAAACCCAGGGCUUAACCCUGGGACUGCAUUGGAAACUGUCUGGCUCGAGUGCCGGAGAGGUAAGCGGAAGUCCUAGUGUAGCGGUGAAAUGCGUAGAUAUUAGGAUGAACACCAGUGGCGAAGGCGGCUUACUGGACUGUAACUGACGUUGAGGCUCGAAAGCGUGGGGAGCAAACAGGAUUAGAUACCCUGGUAGUCCACGCCGUAAACGAUGAUUACUAGGUGUUGGGGAUUUAUAAAUCCCCGGUGCCGUCGCAAACGCAAUAAGUAAUCCACCUGGGGA
rnacentral:rRNA from 1 species